CUCUAAGGGUGCGUUGCACCAUUUAACUUUAACUAUUACAAACGUCACAUCGUCUGUCAAAGCAUCGGUUAAGCGAAAAAUUGGUUGCACCAUUCAACUAUGGUUAAAAUGACGUCAUAACUUUAACGAUAACCAUAACCACCCCAUGUUGGCCGGUUACUGCUUUUGUUAAAGUCAGGUAGCUGUCAAACGCGUUGUAUAACCUCAAAGUAACAGUAUUACGUACAAAUAUUAAUAUUAAAUAAUUCUUAUCAUGUCGCUUCAACGUGAAAUAGCGCUUGAAACAAGUUCCUCAGAAAUUGAGAUUGAGGUGGAGUAAGUACGGAACUUACGAAAUAUGAAGAGAAAGGUGUACUUUCAGAGAACUGAUAGAUUCGCAGGUUCCAGGUCUCAAAAAUGUGGCUCGUGUGUUGGCUUUAAAACUAGAACCUUUCUUACUGCCUCCAACGACGAAAAAUUUUGCAAUCACUCAAAUACAGCAAUUUAUCAAUGAAAAUAAGGAC